CGCUACUUUACGUAAGAAAUUGCCGAGAUCGCGUCGUGUUUAUUUUCAUUACGGUUGCUCGUUCAGAAGUCAGAGACGAUGUGUCCAGCUCAAUGAAAGUGACUGUACAGACGGUGACGGCGGUGCAGCUGGAGAGCAUCCGUCUUUCCUAUACCAUGCUAUUUGUGGGGUGUGCAGGGCAAACUGGGAAUAGCAGCAUGAUUCAGCGCUACAGGGUCAGGAUCUAUGAUAAUGUACCAUGGGGAACAUUUCCAUAUAAUGAACACAGUACUCUUUAGAGGCCCUCUUGAGGAACGAAGAUGAGGACACACAGAUAAAGAGAAACGACAAAAAAGGAGAUCAAGAGAGAUUUCAGGAUAGAAAGAGGGAGAAUAAAAGAGGAGUAUGGAGAGAAAAGAGGGGAAUAGUGGAGACUGCAAUAAUGAGAGAAAAAAUGUAAUGGGAGAGACAAAGAAGUAAAAGAGAAAGAGAAAGAGAGAUACAACUGCCAUGAGCUACACACCCAAACCAAUCUGGACCAAGUGGCUGCCACUGUUGCUGGAGCCGGCUCCACAUGACACACAAGUGUGAAAUUGGUGUGGAAUUGAGGCGCAUGGGACUUUGUGGCACAGAGGAGAGUGAAGGGUCAGACGUGGCCGCAGUCAUCACUCCCAUCUUCUUCAGUGUUACCUCGUCUGUCACUGAGAUGGAGCGAGAGAACGCAGGACGAGAGGCAGCUUGUGGGCCUGACAGAGAAAGAGAGAGCGAGAGAUUUUUUGUAAUUGUUCCACAAUUUUUCUUCUCUAUUUGCUUUUCACGUUAUGCAAAUAAAGCAAAUUGAAGUUGUGAGAAUAAGAGAUGGAUAAAUAAUGAGAUACACAAUGGAAGAAACAACAUUAAAGAGAUAAAAGAGAAAGAAAAGCAGAAGAGGCACUGCGAAGAAAGGAAACUGAGGGACAACUCAACUGUGUUUGAGUUUUCAAUUUAUUUAAGUAUACUUAAGAUCUGUGUUGUACAUUUAGAUUCCCAUUAGUUAAAUCCCUUAUUGGUAUUCAAUCCACAAACGCAACUUUUUAUUAGUAAAUGACAUCCAUUUACUUUUAUUACGGCAAAUGAAUGAAAUGAAAACUAUCAUUCGGUCUGUGCAGAGAUAAACGCAGUGGCAGUGUUUGGCCUGUAGGGGGUCAUGGCGGUGCUGCGAGCUGCAGCAGGUUGAGCAAUGACUGCAGAUUUGUUGCAGCUUGAUGUC